UACGGAGGAUGCAAGCGUUAUCCGGAUUUAUUGGGCGUAAAGCGUCCGCAGGUGGCUAUUCAAGUCUGCUGUCAAAGCUCGGAGCUUAACUCCGAAUCGGCGGUGGAAACUGAACAGCUAGAGUGCAGUAGGGGUAGAGGGAAUUCUCGGUGUAGCGGUGAAAUGCGUAGAUAUCGAGAGGAACACCUGCGGCGAAGGCGGGUUGCUGGGCUGAUACUGACGCUGAGGCGCGAAAGCCAGGGGAGCGAACGGG
rnacentral:rRNA from 1 species